rnacentral:rRNA from 1 species
UACGGAGGGGGCUAGCGUUGUUCGGAAUUACUGGGCGUAAAGGGCGCGCAGGCGGCUCGACAAGUCAGAUGUGAAAGCCCCGGGCUCAACCUGGGAACGGCAUUUGGGACUGUCGGGCUAGAGUUCGGGAGAGGUGGGUGGAAUUCCCAGUGUAGAGGUGAAAUGCGUAGAUAUCGGGAGGAACACCUGUGGCGAAAGCGGCGCACUGGACCACAACUGACGCUGAGGCGCGAAAGCUAGGGGAGCAAACAGG